rnacentral:lncRNA from 1 species
UAGGGCUGGAAUGGAGUGGAUUUGACAUCGGCGGUCUCGAAGCGGGUGCCGAUGACGUCACCAGCAAGGUUCUUGGCCAGGUUCUGGUCCAGCGAGUCGAGGUCGAACUGCAGGUACUCGGCAGGCUUCCCCAGGCCGAAGGGGUCGAAGCCGUAGUCGCCGACCAGAGAUCCGUCGAGCCAGGGAGGGGACACGGCUCCCGGGUACCACAGCGGGCGGUCCGAGUUCACGGGCGACUUGCUGGGCUUCUUGGGCUUCGCCGCCUUCUUGCCGCCGAAGCCGAAGCGGGCGAGGAAGCGGCUGGAGGCGGAGACACCGGAAGUGGAGCUGACGUCGGGCAAGCGGGCGCCCAGGAACGUGGAUGCCGUCGCCGCGGUCGUGGUCGCCAUUUGUGACUGCAGGCAGAUGAGACCCCCCCCCUACUUCUCCCUCCCACCGGCUGCCGCUACGGCUGCU